AGAGUUUGAUCCUGGCUCAGGAUGAACGCUGGCGGCGUGUUUUAGGCAUGCAAGUCGAAUGGUGCGGUUUACCGUUACCAUGGCAAACGGGUGAGUAACACAUUGGUAAUUUACCCCGAAGUUCAGAAUAAUUCAUCGAAAGAUGGAAUAAUACUGGAUGUGCUCUAUUUGUUAAUCAGGUAGAGUAAAGAUUUAUCGCUUCGGGAGAAGUCUAUGGCCUAUCAGCUUGUUGGUGAGGUAAAAGCUCACCAAGGCUUUGACGGGUAGCGGGUGUGAGAGCAUGACCCGCCUCACGGGGACUGAGACACUGCCCUGACUCCUACGGGAGGCUGCAGUCGAGAAUCUUCCACAAUGGCCGAAAGGCUGAUGGAGCGACGCCGCGUGAUUGAUGACGCCCUUAGGGGUGUAAAAAUCUUUUAUGAGGGAAGAAUCCAUGACGGUACCUCAUGAAUAAGGGGCCGCUAACCUCGUGCCAGCAGCGGCGGUAAUACGAGGGCCCCGAGCGUUAUCCGGAUUUAUUGGGCGUAAAGAGUCUGUAGGUGGUCUGGUAAGUUGUUGGUCAAAUCCUCGCGCUUAACGCGAGGACUGCCAACAAAACUGCUAGACUAGAGAUCGGGAGAGGCGAGUGGAAUUGCUGGUGUAACGGUAAAAUGUGUUAAUAUCAGCAAGAACACCAAAUGCGAAGGCAUCUCGCUGGAACGUUUCUGACACUGAGAGACGAAAGCGUGGGGAGCGAAUGGGAUUAGAUACCCCAGUAGUCCACGCCGUAAACGAUGGGCAUUAGUCAUUGGCAGUAUCGACCCUGUCAGUGACGUCGAAAAUAGCUAACGCGUUAAAUGCCCCGCCUGUGGAGUACGGCCGCAAGGCUAAAACACUAAGGAAUUGACGGGGACCCGCACAAGCGGUGGAGCAUGUGGUUUAAUUCGAUAUUAAGCGAGGAACCUCACCAAGGUUUGACAUCUCUGGAAAGUCUCAGAAACGAGACCGUGCCUUCGGGAACCAGAUGACAGGUGCUGCAUGGUUGUCGUCAGCUCGUGCCGUGAGGUGUACCGUUAAGUCGGGAAACGAGCGCAACCCCUAUGUUGUGUUAAAUUGUUCACAACAAACUGCCCGCGUAUAGCGGGAGGAAGGUGGGGACGACGUCAAAUCAGCAUGGCUCUUACACCUUGGGCUACACACGUGCUACAAUGGCUGGUUCAAUGGGUCGCUAAGCGGUAACGUGGAGCUAAUCCCAUCAAAGCCAGUCCCAGUUCGGAUUGAGGUCUGCAACUCGACCUCAUGAAGUCGGAAUCGCUAGUAAACGCAUAUCAGCCUCGGUGCGUUGAAUACGUUCUCGGGUCUUGUACACACCGCCCGUCAAGUCAAGGGAGUCAGGAGUACCCGAAGACUCACGUUCGUGGGUUUAAGGUAAGACUGGCGACAGGGACUAAGUCGUAACAAGGUAACC
rnacentral:rRNA from 1 species